rnacentral:snRNA from 1 species
AUACUUACCUGGACGGGGUCUAUGAGUGAUCAAUAAGGCUCAUGGCCUAGGUUAACGGUUCACAUUGCACGUGAUGAGUGUGUUGAUCUACCAUCUUCCCUCUAUGGGAGAGUGGACGCCGUAAUUUAUGAUAUAGGGGGUGUGCCUUCGCGCGGCCCUAUC